AAUGGCAAUAUACAAAAACCUGUCCAAACUAUAUUAGGAAUGGCAAUAUACAAAAACCUGUAGCAGAAUACUUCAAUCUCCCUGGACAAACAAUAGCAGAUAUAAAGGUAAUCAUCCUGCAGCAAAAAAACUUCAGGACCAGACUUCAAAGAGAAAUUGCUGAGCUU